rnacentral:piRNA from 1 species
GAAGCAAGAAACAGUCACGGCACGGCCCUAU